UACAGAGGGUGCGAGCGUUAAUCGGAAUUACUGGGCGUAAAGCGUGCGUAGACGGUUAUUUAAGUCAGAUGUGAAAGCCCCGGGCUCAACCUGGGAAUUGCAUUUGAGACUGAAUAGCUAGGGUGCGGUAGAGGGAAGCGGAAUUUCCGGUGUAGCGGUGAAAUGCGUAGAUAUCGUUUGGAACGCCAAUGGUGAAAACAGGUUGCUGGGAGUGUGCUGACGCUGAGACACGAAAGCCAGGGGAGCGAACGGG
rnacentral:rRNA from 1 species